rnacentral:lncRNA from 1 species
GUGCAUCCCCACGGAGAUUGUUCAUUCAGCAUCAAGGCUUCCAGUGCGGCUACGCAGCACUCAGACGGUGCCAGCCUGAGACCGACACUGGAACAGCAAAAACACUUGCCAGAUUUUGAUGUCCUUGCCCACUCCCUGCCUGUGUUCACACCAAACUCAACAUGAAUUUGUCUCAACCACUUGUUUCUCCUUCCAGCAGGAAUCGAGACAUUUUAGCUCAAUUAGGACCAUCUCUGGGCCAUUUCUCUCYGUAGCAGUAACUCCGGAUCCUGGGGAACAGGACCCAGUACACUCUUCCCUAGGCUGGGGCAGAAAUAACAGGGAUUUAUUUGAGCCUUAAGGUCUGUUAAUUAUCUACUUUGAGCUUUGUCUUUGAAGAAAGCUUUGGAGACCGAAACGUGCCUCAGUAGACAGCUGUGUUAGAUAACACACCAGGCAGAGGGAAAGUAAAAAUUUUYUCCCUACAGGAACAAGGGAGAUCCUGCAAUACAUAUGUAUGAAUUCACGCACGUUCAGCUGCAUUUCCUUUUACAAAAAAAAAAAAAGCAGUCUUUUGUCAUUCCACUCCCAGUGAUCUACUGAGGACCUAUUUGUUGCCUCACAGCAUUCCCACAGCCCUUGAGGGCCUCUAGGAAGGCCAUCAUUGAAGGCAUGUGAGCCUGCCUGCUCACACGUACGGCAGGACAGGAGCAAAGACACCAACUUCUGCUUCCUGAUUACCCACAGCUGCUUUUAGGAUGAAGAAGGUGAGAAAACCUCAACUAACUCAACGUGCUGCUACAUUGACUUCAAUGAACACAGGGUAAGACAAAAUCAACUGCAAGUGCUCACCCCAAAACCUCUGGUGGCAGAACCCACAGUUCCAGCUCUUCUAGCAUUUCUCUUUGGGGAAGGUCCCCCACUUCCAUCCAUGCCAAGAGCCAGCAACGCAACAUGGCGUUACACGGUGCAGGAGAGGGUGCAGCUGCUGCCCUGGGCACUGCAUCCUCAACACCCACGCGCUUCGCCAUUCUCCAGCGUGUUUCCCAGGUCGGAUGGGAUGACUUCCAGCAGAAGAGACCCAUUCUCUGCAAGAACACUUACACGUAACCUGCUGGAGGACAUCAUCACCCUGCUGUCACACGAGUCCCCAGAUUUUGGAAAGAGGCAAUGCCAACCCAGCCCCAGCCAAUGGGGCUAAAAACAGCAAGGCUCUGCAUCCUGGCUGCCUCAUUAUCCACAGGGAAAAGGCUGCAGAUACAGGAAUUAUGGAAGCAAGGGGAUAGUUCUUUUUGUGGAAAUGGGGAAAAACUAAUGAGCUCAAAGAAGGAAGGAACACCACCAAAACAGAAAGCUAGAAGUGGCCCCUGCCACAGGAAUACACCCUGGUUUUUCUACCAUCUUUGUCAUCUAGGCCUAAGGACCCUGUUCUCCUAAGCAGACAGGAUGGUAAGCAGGUUGCCUUAGCUGCUCCARGUAGCAUCUCUGUAACCACAGUCUCAGGUUGGGGAAGGAAAAGAAAUGGGAGUUAUUGCCAAAUACGUUCAAAGGAACUCGUGAUUUCUGAGAUGCACUAGAGAAGGGCAGCUGAACCACUCUGACAACAGCAGCCCCCAGGAUGCAGACGCUGGGAAGAUUAAAUAAUUCAGUUUGCAGACACCAGGGAGAUGGGAUUCGUACUCUGCAGAGGCAGAUAARAGACUGCACUCAAAGCAGUUCUAGCCAGAUUUCAUAUCCUUCCCCCCACUCCAACUGAGCUGGCAACAGGGAUCCUGGACCAGUACAACGUACCCUCAAUCGGGAUGCAUCUCCUAUCUACAAUCCUGUCCCACACAGUUACCUUCUUAUGGGCAUCACCAACUCCACAUUGGCCAGGGAAGGCCAUGCUAGACCUAGCAASACCAGUCUGAGCCACCAGUAAGCAGCACAGCUGAAACACACGCUACCUGAGCCAGCCGGCCCGACACGGAUGGGUCGAGCAAACAAGAGUGCCUCAGCACAUUUCAGAAGCUGAGCAGCCAGCUGGCAAGCAAGMAAGACAACUGCGCUCUGCAGUGCAGGAAACUCAGUGACUUUCAGAAGACAUGAUAAGGAAAGGGUUGGAGAGUCACACACGGUGCUCAGUUUCCAUCAGCAGUGCCAGCGCUGCAGUUCCAGUAAGGGGUAUAAAUAACAGCAGAGGAGAAGCCAAAAUGGCCAUU